rnacentral:rRNA from 1 species
ACUCCUACGGUAGGCAGCAGUAGGGAAUCUUCCACAAUGGGCGCAAGCCUGAUGGAGCAACACCGCGUGAGUGAAGAAGGGUUUCGGCUCGUAAAGCUCUGUUGUUAAAGAAGAACACGUAUGAGAGUAACUGUUCAUACGUUGACGGUAUUUAACCAGAAAGUCACGGCUAACUACGUGCCAGCAGCCGCGGUAAUACGUAGGUGGCAAGCGUUAUCCGGAUUUAUUGGGCGUAAAGAGAGUGCAGGCGGUUUUCUAAGUCUGAUGUGAAAGCCUUCGGCUUAACCGGAGAAGUGCAUCGGAAACUGGAUAACUUGAGUGCAGAAGAGGGUAGUGGAACUCCAUGUGUAGCGGUGGAAUGCGUAGAUAUAUGGAAGAACACCAGUGGCGAAGGCGGCUACCUGGUCUGCAACUGACGCUGAGACUCGAAAGCAUGGGUAGCGAACAGGAUUAGAUACCCUGGUAGGAUAGCG